CCUACUAUACCUAGCCACAACACACAAUUAAAGUACCAAUUGUUCGCCAAACAACUACGAGUAGUAACUUAAAACUUAAAAGACUUGACGGUGCUUCAUCACAACCUAGAGGAGCCUGUCCAAUAACCGAUAACCCACGAUUAACCCCACCCCCUCUCGCCAACAGUCUAUAUACCACCGUCGCAAGCUUACCCUGUAAAAGAAACAAAGUAGGCUAAAAAGUUCUACACUAAAACGACAGGUCGAGGUGUAACUUAUGAGGGGGCAAAGAUGGGCUACACUCUCUUAUCAGAGAACACGAACAACACUACGAACACAGUGAUCGAAGGAGGAUUUAGCAGUAAGAUAGGAACAAAAUACCUAACUGAACAUAACGCAAUGAAGUGCGUACACACCGCCCGUCAUCCCUGCCCACACCACAUUAACCUUCAUAAACCAACAAUAAGCACUUAACCA
rnacentral:rRNA from 1 species